rnacentral:rRNA from 1 species
CAGUCGAGCGGUAACAGAUGCAGCUUGCUGGAUGCUGACGAGCGGCGGACGGGUGAGUAAUGCAUGGGAAUCUGCCCGAUAGUGGGGGAUAACCUGGGGAAACCCAGGCUAAUACCGCAUACGUCCUACGGGAGAAAGGGGGCUCCGGCUCCCGCUAUGGGAUGAGCCUAUGUCCGAUUA